AAAAGAAAGAAGAAGAAAAAAA
rnacentral:sRNA from 1 species